rnacentral:lncRNA from 1 species
GGCGGCUAGCGGCGGUGAGGCAGGCGCCUAAAUCCGGGUCCUUAGACGUUCGUCCGGGACGCAGCGCUCGCCGUCCAGCCGCGCUUCCCUCACACCUGCUGGCAUGCGUGUGGGCGCCCGUGCAGGUUCUUAAAAUGAAGAAGUUGAAUUUCCGAAAAGUUUUGGAUGGCUUGACUGCCUCCUCACCGGGCAGUGGCAGCAGCAGCGGCAGUAACAGCGGUGGGACUGGUAGUGGUCCCUUGCAUCCAGGAGGGACAGCUGGAGUUCUGAGAGAGGAGAUUCAGGAAACCUUGACUUCAGAAUAUUUCCAGAUUUGUAAGGAAUACCAGGUUGAAUCAAUAAUCAAAAUUGCUACACAUAUUUUUUUGUGAGUGGAACAUCUAUACUUGUGUGAGCUGUUCAGUGAGAAUCUGUAACCCACAGGACAGGCGGAGAGUUCAGCUAAGAAACAGCAGAAAACAGAAGACAAGACUGCAGUGAUAGACAAAGGUGGAUAUCAAGCCAAAUGCAACAGCACUGCAUGCUGUCGGGCAACAGCAAAGGAUCCCUUUGCAUGCAAAAAGAAAGUUGCACAAUAUGAAGGAAGCAGUAAAAAUGAAAUGAAGUAGAAGAGACAUGCAGAAAGAAAAAUGCUCUCGGAUAUGUCACAAUCAUCUUGAUUCUUUACCUGGAAAACCUGUAUUUUUUCCUUUGUAAUUAUCUAAUAUACUUUGUGUCAAAGAACAAGGACCUGAGUUCCACUUAAAGAAGAUGAAGAAGUUAACAGAUACCGUUCUCGGGUUUUAUCAUGAAAUUAGAAAUGAAAAUUUUCAGUUUCUAGUAGUCAUGAACAGAGAGCCUCAGGUAAGCCCGAGAGUGCAGGCAGACAGUCAGGAUGCUCCUGCGCAGGCUCCUCAGGUGCAGCUGUGCUGGUGGGAAAAAUCAUGCUGUUUAGCCUAACGAGGCAAAACAGAAUAAAGGCCAAGGUAAUUCAGUAGAGAGGGUCUUAAAUGCACAGCUGUGUCAGCUGCUGUCUCCUUCCCACCUGGUCUUCAUUUUUUCUCUGUGUAAUCUGUUUGCUUCCCUACUGGGCCUGCUAACAUUAUCUGAUUCCAGGCCAAACUGAUAAUAUUUGUUAUGAGGCCUGCCAAAAUUAAUAAAAUUUGAGUUCAUCAUCUUGGUGUUCCCUGAACUAAAGUUAACUACCUGUGUCAAAUCCUAAAGUCCACUUGUUACACCAGCAUCAGGCUAAGAUGUAAAUCUUCAUUUGAACUAAGGAACAGCUGCACUCCUCUUGAAACUCUACAUGCACAGAGAGAUGUUUGUUUGUAAGUGGAUACAAUAGACAGAGUGCCUAUUGGUGUUUUAAAAGCCAAAACCUGGAAUACUUUUCUGUUGACUUCACAUAUGGAGAAAAUUAUGGUGUAAAAUGUAGACAAGAAUAAAAUAAUACCAAGAUGAGUAAGUCCAUUAAAAAUGUAGAUGAGCAAAUGACUUUAGCGUUAUUAAUGCUGAUUGGGAAUUUGACUGGCCAAAUGAGCAUGUUUAUACUUGGGACCAAUUAAAAGGCUUACCAUUUUAAUCACUGGCAGAACUGGACAUUCAGUGUUUUCCUGGAUGACAAGAAUUUUCUUUUGUUGUUUUUUCAGUUUGGCUUUGUUUUGGUCUAGCAACUGCACCAGAGUGUCCUCAGUGUAGAGAAGAUAACAAUACACUACCACAGUGUUAGUAACAAUAUCUUGUUACUAACAUUUAGUAACAGUAUCUCAGAGUCUCUCUACAGCUUGAGGGGAAAACAUUGCUGCCAUUCCUACCCUGAGGAAAAUCUACAGUAACAGAAUGUUUCCAGAAGUAGAAAAAUCCUACCAGUUGGGAACCUCCACGUGGACCCGGCCUCUCAGCUUUUCCUGACUCCCCACCAGGGCAGCUGCUGUGUAGGAUCCGCUGUAACGUACCAACGGCACAGGUGGUGCAGUGCGUUGGGGCUGGACUCAUGGAGAAUGUUCUGGAGCUUCCCAAGAAGACCCCUCCAACAUUACUAGGCAAAAAGGUGGAUCAGGAAUACCCUCCUAAGCCCCGGGAACAGUUCCUCCUAAUAAUUAAAGAGACACACAUCUUUCAGCUCUGACUUUUUUUUAAUCAGCCUGAAAAGACCAGCUUUCAGAUUCCCAAAGAAAUUGCAAACACAUCUUUAAAAAAAAAUGUAAGUUCUGAUUCCACGUAGAGUGACUGAAUUGUUGAGUUACUCAGAAUU